AGUGAACGCUGGCGGUAGGCCUAACACAUGCAAGUCGAACGGCAGCACAGUAAGAGCUUGCUCUUACGGGUGGCGAGUGGCGGACGGGUGAGGAAUACAUCGGAAUCUACUUUUUCGUGGGGGAUCACGUAGGGAAACUUACGCUAAUACCGCAUACGACCUACGGUUGAAAGCAGGGGAUCUUCGGACCUUGCGCGAUUGAAUUAGCCGAUGUCGGAUUAGCUAGUUGGCGGGGUAAAGGCCCACCAAGGCGACGAUCCGUAGCUGGUCUGAGAGGAUGAUCAGCCACACUGGAACGGGGACACGGUCCAGACUCCUAAGGGAGGCAGCAGUGGGGAAUAUUGGACAAUGGGCGCAAGCAUGAUCCAGCCAUACCGCGUGGGUGAAGAAGGCCUUCGGGUUGUAAAGCCCUUUUGUUGGGAAAGAAAAGCAGCAGGUUAAGACCCCGCUGUUCUGACGGUACCCAAAGAAUAAGCACCGGCUAACUUCGUG
rnacentral:rRNA from 1 species